GCGAGUGAAGCGGCAACAGCUCAAAUUUGAAAUCUGGCCUUUGCGGGUCCGAGUUGUAAUUUGUAGAGGAUGUUUUGGGUACCGCCACGGUUUAAAUUUCUUGGAACAGAAUGUCAAAGAGGGUGAGAGUCCCGUCUUGGAUCGUGGUAGGGCCUGUGUAAAACUCCUUCGACGAGUCGACUUGUUUGGGAAUGCAGGUCAAAAUGGGUGGUAAAUUUCAUCUAAAGCUAAAUAUUGGCCAGAGACCGAUAGCGCACAAGUAGAGUGAUCGAAAGAUGAAAAGCACUUUGAAAAGAGAGUUAAACAGUAUGUGAAAUUGUUGAAAGGGAAGCGCUGGCAAUCAGACUCGUGCGCGGGGUUCCCCUGGGCUUCUGCCCAGGUUACUUCCCCGUGUCCGGGCCAUCAUCAGUUUCGGGGGUCGGUUAAAGGCCCUGGGAAUGUAUCCUCCCCUUCGGGGGUGGACUUAUAGCCCAGGGUGUCAUGCGGCCACCCGGGACUGAGGAACGCGCUUCGGCGAGGAUGAUGGCGUAAUGGUUGUCAGCGACCCGUCUUGAAACACGGACCAAGGAGUCUAACAUCUAUGCGAGUGUUCGGGUGUCAAACCCCUGCGCGGAAUGAAAGUGAACGGAGGUAGGAAGGCUUAAGCCUGCACUAUCGACCGAUCCUGAUGUCUUCGGAUGGAUUUGAGUAAGAGCAUAGCUGUUGGGACCCGAAAGAUGGUGAACUAUGCGUGAAUAGGGUGAAGCCAGAGGAAACUCUGGUGGAGGCUCGCAGCGGUUCUGACGUGCAAAUCGAUCGUCAAAUUUGCGUAUAG
rnacentral:rRNA from 1 species